rnacentral:rRNA from 1 species
AUUGAACGCUGGCGGCAUGCCUUACACAUGCAAGUCGAACGGCAGCGCGGGGCAACCUGGCGGCGAGUGGCGAACGGGUGAGUAAUAUAUCGGAACGUGCCCUGGAGUGGGGGAUAACGUAGCGAAAGUUACGCUAAUACCGCAUACGAUCCAAGGAUGAAAGCAGGGGGACCUUCGGGCCUUGUGCUCCUGGAGCGGCCGAUAUCUGAUUAGCUAGUUGGUGGGGUAAAAGCCUACCAAGGCGACGAUCAGUAGCUGGUCUGAGAGGACGACCAGCCACACUGGAACUGAGACACGGUCCAGACUCCUACGGGAGGCAGCAGUGGGGAAUUUUGGACAAUGGGGGGCAACCCUGAUCCAGCAAUGCCGCGUGUGUGAAGAAGGCC